UAGGGAAUAUUGCGCAAUGGACGAAAGUCUGACGCAGCGACGCUACGUGAGCGAAGAAGGAUUUCGGUCUGUAAAGCUCUGUCAGGAGGGAAGAAUUUGUCCGGGUAAUGCCGGGCACUGACGGUACCUCCAGAGGAAGCUCCGGCUAACUCCGUGCCAGCAGCCGCGGUAAUACGGGGGGAGCUAGUGUUGUUCGGAUUUAUUGGGCGUAAAGCGAGUGUAGGCGGAAGCCUAAGUCAGGGGUGAAAAUUCGAGGCUCAACCUCGAACCUGCCUUUGAUACUGGGUUUCUUGAGUAUGGAAGAGGGCAAUGGAAUUCCUGGUGUAGCGGUGGAAUGCGUAGAUAUCAGGAGGAACACCAAUAGCGAAGGCAGUUGCCUGGGACAAUACUGACGCUGAAAUUCGAAAGCGUGGGGAGCAAACA
rnacentral:rRNA from 1 species